UACGAAGGGGGCUAGCGUUGCUCGGAAUCACUGGGCGUAAAGGGCGCGUAGGCGGCCUGAUCAGUCGGGGGUGAAAGCCUGUGGCUCAACCACAGAAUGGCCUCGAUACUGUCAGGCUUGAGACCGGAAGAGGUAAGUGGAACUGCGAGUGUAGAGGUGAAAAUUCGUAGAUAUUCGCAAGAACACCAGUGGCGAAGGCGG
rnacentral:rRNA from 1 species